UUACCUGGUCUUGACCAUCCCGGAGACCCUUAGGAAACUAGGGGUGCUUCCAUCUGGAAGAAUCUGGAGACAGGUGCUGCAUGGCUGUCGUCAGCUCGUGUCGUGAGAUGUUGGGUUAAGUCCCGCACGAGCGCAACCCUUGCCUUUAGUUGCCAGCAGUUCGGCUGGGCACUCUAAAGGGACUGCCGGUGUUAAACCGGAGGAAGGUGGGGAUGACGUCAAGUCCUCAUGGCCUUUAUGACCAGGGCUACACACGUACUACAAUGGCCGAUACAAAGGGCAGCGACACUGCGAGGUGAAGCCAAUCCCGUAAAAUCGGUCUCAGUCCGGAUUGGAGUCUGCAACUCGACUCCAUGAAGUUGGAAUCGCUAGUAAUCGUGGAUCAGCAUGCCACGGUGAAUACGUUCCCGGGCCUU
rnacentral:rRNA from 1 species